AAAAAACAUACUGCGAGACUUGCGGCAGAUGGCACUGUUCAAACACACAGGGUCCCUGGAAGUUUUCCAUUCAUCAAUGCUAAAGUAUACGCAGAAAAGGCUUCACUUUUCAUAUGACGUAAUGCUGGCCAGAACCCAACUUGCGGUUAUGGACCACAACGCCAAUGUUGGCAAGGAGCAGGCCAAAACAAAGCAAGGACAACCGCA